rnacentral:rRNA from 1 species
GGGUUGUGAGGUUAAGCGACUAAGCGUACACGGUGGAUGCCCUGGCAGUCAGAGGCGAUGAAGGACGUGCUAAUCUGCGAUAAGCGCCGGUAAGGUGAUAUGAACCGUUAUAACCGGCGAUUUCCGAAUGGGGAAACCCAGUGUGACUCGUCACACUAUCAUUAACUGAAUCCAUAGGUUAAUGAGGCGAACCGGGGGAACUGAAACAUCUAAGUACCCCGAGGAAAAGAAAUCAACCGAGAUUCCCCCAGUAGCGGCGAGCGAACGGGGAGGAGCCCAGAGCCUGAAUCAGCAUGUGUGUUAGUGGAAGCGUCUGGAAAGGCGCGCGAUACAGGGUGACAGCCCCGUACACAAAAGCGCAUGUGCUGUGAGCUCGAUGAGUAGGGCGGGACACGUGGUAUCCUGUCUGAAUAUGGGGGGACCAUCCUCCAAGGCUAAAUACUCCUGACUGACCGAUAGUGAACCAGUACCGUGAGGGAAAGGCGAAAAGAACCCCGGCGAGGGGAGUGAAAAAGAACCUGAAACCGUGUACGUACAAGCAGUGGGAGCACCCUUUGGGGUGUGACUGCGUACCUUUUGUAUAAUGGGUCAGCGACUUAUAUUCUGUAGC